rnacentral:rRNA from 1 species
CCUAACCUUCCAUACGCGUAUGCCGUAGUGACCUGCGGAGCGAUCAUUGUUGAUGCCCAUCGGAGGGGGAACGUCCGAACUUGUGAACCCUCGCGUUCUAGCAGACGUCCCGGCGGCGGUCUGCGCGUGUCGGGCAACGACGAACCAAAUCUCGGCGCAGGACGCGCCAAGCUCUUCUCAAGAAGCUUUGAUCGCGGCGUCCUCUUCCCCGUCGGGCGGGAGGGCGCGCGCGUCGAACACUUACAAGUCAUUACGACUCUCGGCAACGGAUAUCUCGGCUCUCGCAUCGAUGAAGAACGUAGCGAAAUGCGAUACUUGGUGUGAAUUGCAGAAUCCCGUGAACCAUCGAGUCUUUGAACGCAAGUUGCGCCCGAGGCCUUCCGGUCGAGGGCACAUCUGCCUUGGGGUUAAACAACUCGUCUCCCACCCCCUUCUCCCCUCCGGGCUCCUCCGAUCGAGGAGUCUGUCCGAGAGGAGGAGGGCAGGUCGGGCGGAGUCUGGUCGUCCGUGUGCCCGCAGAGCGCACGCGGUUGGCUGAAAAGCCCGGGCCACGGGCCGAGUGCGGCUCAACGGGUGGUGGUUGUGCGCCCUCGCAAGGCCGCGAUUGUCAGCCCUUCUCCGCUCGCUUCUCGAUUGCCCGGCAAGAAGGCCCGCCACGAAACGUCGAAUCGGCGGAUCGAUUCGUUGCAACCCCAAGCCUCGGAACAUAUGGCCG